rnacentral:rRNA from 1 species
AUGUCUAAGUAUAAGCAAAUUAUACCGUGAAACUGCGAAUGGCUCAUUAAAUCAGUUAUCGUUUAUUUGAUAGUACCUUACUACUUGGAUAACCGUGGUAAUUCUAGAGCUAAUACAUGCUAAAAACCUCGACUUCGGGAGGGGUGUAUUUAUUAGAUAAAAAACCAAUGCCCUUUGGGGCUCUUUGGUGAUUCAUAAUAACUUAACGGAUCGCAUGGCCUUGCGCUGGCGACGGUUCAUUCAAAUUUCUGCCCUAUCAACUUUCGAUGGUAAGGUAUUGGCUUACCAUGGUUUCAACGGGUAACGGGGAAUUAGGGUUCGACUCCGGAGAGGGAGCCUGAGAAACGGCUACCACAUCCAAGGAAGGCAGCAGGCGCGCAAAUUACCCAAUCCCGACACGGGGAGGUAGUGACAAUAAAUACUGAUACAGGGCUCUUUUGGGUCUUGUAAUUGGAAUGAGUACAAUUUAAACCCCUUAACGAGGAACAAUUGGAGGGCAAGUCUGGUGCCAGCAGCCGCGGUAAUUCCAGCUCCAAUAGCGUAUAUUAAAGUUGUUGCAGUUAAAAAGCUCGUAGUUGAACCUUGGGCCUGGCUGGCCGGUCCGCCUCACCGCGUGUACUGGUCCGGCCGGGCCUUUCCUUCUGGAGAGCCGCAUGCCCUUCACUGGGUGUGUCGGGGAACCAGGACUUUUACUUUGAAAAAAUUAGAGUGUUCAAAGCAGGCCUUUGCUCGAAUACGUUAGCAUGGAAUAAUAGAAUAGGACGUGCGGUCCUAUUUUGUUGGUUUCUAGGACCGCCGUAAUGAUUAAUAGGGAUAGUCGGGGGCAUCAGUAUUCAAUUGUCAGAGGUGAAAUUCUUGGAUUUAUUGAAGACUAACUACUGCGAAAGCAUUUGCCAAGGAUGUUUUCAUUAAUCAGUGAACGAAAGUUAGGGGAUCGAAGACGAUCAGAUACCGUCGUAGUCUUAACCGUAAACUAUGCCGACUAGGGAUCGGGCGAUGUUACUAUUUUGACUCGCUCGGCACCUUACGAGAAAUCAAAGUUUUUGGGUUCUGGGGGGAGUAUGGUCGCAAGGCUGAAACUUAAAGAAAUUGACGGAAGGGCACCACCAGGC